rnacentral:lncRNA from 1 species
UUUCUUUUUGCAUAUCAUCGGCCGCAUAACUUUCCCUCACAUUCUUUCUUUUUCUCUGAGAAACCUUAUCUUCUCACUCACCCUUUCAUUUCAAUGUCUGCAUAUCAAUUCCAAACACCAAAUUAGAGAAAUCAAACUUAAUCACUAAAUACACACAUAUGAAGCCCCUUUUCACCUCUGCAACAUCUCGAUCCCUCUUCCUCUUCCGAUUUUCCAGCCGUCAGAGCCGGUUAACGGGUCGACCAAACCCACUAACACCAUCUCUACCCCCCAUCUCGGUCUCCCUGUUCACCUGAAUGGCCGGCCGACCACCACUUGUGGUGGCGGCGUUCAACGGCUGCAACAACAAUGGCGUACGGCGACGACAAGUCUAGAGAGGCGGAGAGAGACGGUGAGAGAGAGAGGGAAUAGAGAAGCUCACCGGAGAAACCCGACGUGACCGGAGACGUAUGGGGUUCGCAACGGGAUUCACGCAUCACGACUUUCGUGACGUAUAGUUCCGUUGAUCCGUCGGGGAUAGACGAGCCUUGCCGGAGGUGCUUAAAGGCUGCCAAAGGAGCCUACACGUGUGGGAGUUGCAGCGGGUUCACCGGAGACCUACCGGAGCACUCGAAGACAUCACCGGAGCUCGACGACGAAGUCACGACAUGAAUUGAUACUCCACAGUUGCGGAUAACCACUCUCGUUCCUUCCCAUGGAUUCUCAAUCUUUACUCGUGCGCUUAUUCACAAGGAUUCUUAUACGCAAUCAAUGAUUUGAUAAUGCAAGGAAUAUAGUAGGAUUGCCUAGAAACGCAUUUAAAUUUUAAUAAUUGUGGCAUUGUAACUUACUUUCAAACCGGUUGUAUUUUGUUUCCAAUGUUGUAAUAAACCAUUAUCAUGAAAUGAAAUUUAUU